rnacentral:rRNA from 1 species
GACGAACGCUGGCGGCGUGCUUAACACAUGCAAGUCGAACGGAAAGGCCCUGCUUUUGUGGGGUGCUCGAGUGGCGAACGGGUGAGUAACACGUGAGUAACCUGCCCUUGACUUUGGGAUAACUUCAGGAAACUGGGGCUAAUACCGGAUAGGAGCUCCUGCUGCAUGGUGGGGGUUGGAAAGUUUCGGCGGUUGGGGAUGGACUCGCGGCUUAUCAGCUUGUUGGUGGGGUAGUGGCUUACCAAGGCUUUGACGGGUAGCCGGCCUGAGGGGGUGACCGGCAACAUUGGGACUGAGAUACGGCCCAGACUCCUACGGGAGGCAGCAGUGGGGAAUAUUGCGCAAUGGGCGGGAGCCUGAUGCAGCAACGCCGCGUGCGGGAUGACGGCCUUCGGGUUGUAAACCGCGUUCGCCUGUGACGAAGCGUGAUUGACGGUAAUGGGUAAAGAAGCACCGGCUAACUACGUG